rnacentral:rRNA from 1 species
UACGUAGGGGGCAAGCGUUGCCCGGAAUCAUUGGGCGUAAAGCGCGCGUAGGCGGCCCGGUAAGUCCGUUGUGAAAGUCAAAGGCUCAACCUUUGAACGCCGAUGGAUACUGCCGGGCUAGAGUCCGGAAGAGGCGAGUGGAAUUCCUGGUGUAGCGGUGGAAUGCGCAGAUAUCAGGAGGAACACCGGUGGCGAAGGCGGGUCUCAGGGCCGAUACUGACGCUGAGGAGCGAAAGCGUGGGGAGCGAACAGG